CGGACGGGUGAGUAAUGUCUGGGGAACUGCCUGAUGGAGGGGGGUAACUACUGGAAACGGUAGCUAAUACCGCAUAACGUCGCAAGACCAAAGAGGGGGACCUUCGGGCUUCUUGCCAUCGGAUGUGCCCAGAUGGGAUUAGCUAGUAGGUGGGGUAAAGGCUCACCUAGGCGACGAUCCCUAGCUGGUCUGAGAGGAUGACCAGCCACACUGGAACUGAGACACGGUCCAG
rnacentral:rRNA from 1 species